UACGUAGGGUGCAAGCGUUGUCCGGAAUUAUUGGGCGUAAAGAGCUCGUAGGUUGCCUGUCGCGUCGGCUGUGAAAACUCGGGGCUCAACUCCGAGCUUGCAGUCGAUACGGGCAGGCUAGAGUUCGGCAGGGGAGACUGGAAUUCCUGGUGUAGCGGUGAAAUGCGCAGAUAUCAGGAGGAACACCGGUGGCGAAGGCGGGUCUCUGGGCCGAUACUGACACUGAGGAGCGAAAGCGUGGGGAGCGAACAGG
rnacentral:rRNA from 1 species